GGANUUGGAAAUGGAGGCACUCUGAUCCAGCCAUGCCGCGUGAGUGAUGAAGGCCUUCGGGUUGUAAAACUCUUUUGCCAGGGAAGAUAAUGACUGUACCUGGAGAAUAAGCCCCGGCUAACUUCGUGCCAGCAGCCGCGGUAAUACGAAGGGGGCUAGCGUUGUUCGGAAUUACUGGGCGUAAAGCGCGCGCAGGCGGCUCUUCAAGUCAGGGGUGAAAGCCCAGAGCUCAACUCUGGAACUGCCUUUGAAACUGUAGAGCUUGAGUACGGGAGAGGUGAGUGGAAUUCCCAGUGUAGAGGUGAAAUUCGUAGAUAUUGGGAAGAACACCGGUGGCGAAGGCGGCUCACUGGCCCGUUUCUGACGCUCAGGCGCGACAGCGUGGGGAUCAAACAGGAUUAGAUACCCUGGUAGUCCACGCCGUAAACUAUGAACGCUAGCCGUUGGAUAGCUUGCUAUUCAGUGGCGCAGCUAACGCAUUAAGCGUUCCGCCUGGGGAGUACGGCCGCAAGGUUGAAACUCAAAAAAAUUGACGGA
rnacentral:rRNA from 1 species